rnacentral:rRNA from 1 species
GACGAACGCUGGCGGCGUGCUUAACACAUGCAAGUUGAACGGUAAGGCUCGGCGUUUGUGGGGUUUUCAAGUGCCGAACGGGGGUGUGUCACGUGAGUAACCUCCCCUUGACAUUGGGAUAACUUCUGGAAACUGGGGCGAAUACACGAUAUAACCUCUUGCUGCAUGGUGUGGAUUUGUAAAUUUCGGCGUUUCGGGAUGGAGUCGCGACUUAUCAGUUUGUUGGUGGGGUAGUGGAUUACCAAGGCACUGGCGGGUAGCCGGCCUGCGAGGGUGACCGGGCACAUAGGGCCUGAGGUAGGGGCCGGACGCCAACGGGGGGAAGCAGUGGGAAAUUUAGCGAAAUGGGCCGAAGGCUGAAACAACAACUCCGGGUGCGGAAUGACGGCCUUCGGGGUGUAACCCGCUUUCGCCUGUAACGAAGCGUGAGUGACGGUAAUGGGUAAAGAAGCACCGGCUAACUACGUG